AUGGAGAUAGCAAUCAAAAGUGAGCUUCCUAAUACUGUCCAUAGGUGGUGCAAGUGGCAUAUUCUUAAGAAGGCAAAAGAAAACCUUGGCCCAUUGUACACAAGCAAAAGUGAGUUCAGGGCUGAAUUUCACAAAGUCGUGAAUCACAUGAUAAGUGAAGAGGAAUUUGAGACUGCAUGGGGUGCACUUGUUCAGAAAUACAAUUUGAAAUCCCACAAUUACAUGAGAAACCUCUACGAGAUACGUCACAAGUGGGCGAAACCAUACUUCAAGGGUGUCUUCUGUACCAAGGAUUUCAGCACCCAGCGUAGCGAGAGCGCCAACAACAUGCUGAAGAUUUACAUGCCGCCAGCUAGCCCAAUGCAUGUAUUUGUGCGCCAAUACAUGAGGCUUCAAUUCGACCGUGAAUCAGAUGAGAGCUACCAAGAGAAAAGAACAAGGAUUAGUCGUGCCGUGAUGAGGACAAACAUUGCUAUCGAACGGCACGCGAGUAAGGUUUACACAAGAAAGAUGUUUGAACUAUUUGGUGAGAAUCUGUUCGAAGGUGGAUCAUACCAAGUUGAGGAAGCGGAGAAGAAAAAGAGAUACAUCGCAAGGCACAAUGACGCUGAAAAACGAGAGAGGUGGAGCAAGGUGGAAUAUGUGGUGACCAUAUCCGACGAUGGUGAUUGGUUCGAUUGUGAUUGCGGGCAGUUUGCACACAUGGGGAUGCUUUGCUGCCAUGCCUUGAGGGUGAUGGAUCACAUUGGCGUGCAGGAGAUACCAAAGCGGCACAUUUUAAAAAGGUGGACAAAAGAUGCUAGGGACAUCUUGCCACAACACAUUGCUCACUUCCAGAAAGGCCAGGCUGCUAAUCAAUCAUUUACCUGUCGGAGUUUGACUCUGUACCUGUAUGCUAUGGAACUGGUGCGUAUUGGAGACUCGUCAGUCGCUCCGUACGAGCUGGUACUAUCGAAGAUCAAAGACCUGAUCAUAGAGGCAUCUCCUUUGGCUGACAGGGAUGGUCUAGGGAUUGAGGAUAAGAUAGCUGCAGAAGCAAGCAAAAAGAACAAUGGAUCAGGUAUGCCAGUGGAAAGCAUUCGAUCCGGAUAUGGUUGA
rnacentral:rRNA from 1 species